CGGGGGAUGCCUAGGCUCUCAGAGGCGAGGAAGGACGUGAUAAGCUGCGAUAAGCUUCGGGGAUGCGCAAAUAGCAAUUGAUCCGAGGAUUUCCGAAUGGGGCAACCCUUUACACAUAAGUGUAAAAUCCUUAUAUUAGGAUGCGAACGUUGGGAACUGAAACAUCUAAGUACCAAUAGGAGAAGAAAACAAAAGUGAUUCCGUUAGUAGCGGCGAGCGAAAGCGGAUUAGCCCAAACCUAUAUCGUUACGGCGAUAUAGGGGUUGUAGGACCACGACAUAGAUAUUGAUUAAGAACUGGAAGUAUUUGGAAAGAUACACCAUAGAGCAUGAUAGUUGCGUACGGGUAAAGAAUUAAUAUUUUAGUGGUAUCCUGAGUAGGGCGGGACACGUGAAAUCCUGUCUGAAUCCACCAGGACCAUCUGGUAAGGCUAAAUACUCCUGAGAGACCGAUAGUGAACUAGUACUGUGAAGGAAAGGUGAAAAGCACUCUGAAUAAGAGGUUGAAAUAGAACCUGAAACCGUAUACUUACAAGCGGACGGAGCCUUAGGGUGACGUCGUGCCUUUUGCAUAAUGAUCCUACGAGUUAUUAUAUCUAGCAAGGUUAAUUGUUUAAGACAAGGAGCCGUAGCGAAAGCGAGUCUUAACAGGGCGUAUAGUUAGAUGUAAUAGACGCGAAACCAAGUGAUCUACCCAUGGUCAGGAUGAAGCUAAGGUAACACUUAGUGGAGGUCCGAACUCGUUGACGUUGAAAAGUCUUGGGAUGAACUGUGGGUAGGGGUGAAAGGCUAAUCAAACUUGGAGAUAGCUCGUACUCCCCGAAAUGCAUUUAGGUGCAGCGGUGAUAUAGUUUUAUAGAGGUAGAGCUACUGAUUGGAUGAGGGGGCUUCAUCGCCUACCAAUUCCUGACAAACUCCGAAUGCUAUAAAAUGUUUGUCACUAGUGAGGGCGCGGGUGCUAAGGUCCGUGUCCGAGAGGGAAAGAACCCAGAAUAACAGCUAAGGUCCCUAAAUAAUAUCUAAGUUAAACAAACGUGGUUAAACUGCAUUGACAGCUAGGAUGUUGGCUUGGAAGCAGCCAUUCAUUUAAAGAGUGCGUAACAGCUCACUAGUCGAGCGGUUUUGCGUGGAUAAUACUCGGGUAUAAAGAUAUUUACCGAAGCUAUAUCUUUGAGCAAUCAAGGGGUAGGGGAGCAUUGUAAUCAUGUAGAAGCAGUACUGUGAGGUAUUGUGGAGAGAUUACAAAAGAAAAUGUAGGAAUGAGUAACGAUAAUGAGGGCGAGAAACCCUCACACCGAAAGACUAAGGUUUCCUUUGCUAUGUUAGUCAUCAGAGGGUUAGUCAGGACCUAAGGCGGAACCCGAUAGGGGAAGUCGAUGGAAAAACGGUUAAUAUUCCGUUACUUCUUAAUACUGCGAUGGAAUGACCGAUCUUUGAAAUCUACGCGUGCUGACGGAAUAGCACGUUAAAGGAGGUAGAAUAGUUUGGUAGGUAAAUCCGCCAGAUGUUUUCGAAACUGAAAGUACCAUAAUCCUUCGGGAGCGUGGAUAGUUAGAGUAAGAGGUCGCAAGAAAAGUUUCUAAGCAAUAGGUAUUAAGGACCUGUACCAUAAACCGACACAGGUAGUCGAGGAGAGAAUCCUAAGGUGGACGAGAGAUUCAUGGCUAAGGAACUAGGCAAAAUUGACCUGUAACUUCGGGAGAAAGGUCGCCCCAUGCAAAUGGGGUCGCAGCGAAGAGGCCCAAGCGACUGUUUAGCAAAAACACAGGACUCUGCAAAUUCGAAAGAAUAAGUAUAGGGUCUGACACCUGCCCGGUGCUGGAAGGUUAAGAGGAGUUGUUAGUUUCGGCGAAGCAAUGAAUUGAAGCCCCAGUAAACGGCGGCCGUAACAAUAACGGUCCUAAGGUAGCGAAAUUCCUUGUCGGGUAAGUUCCGACCUGCACGAAUGGUGUAACGAUGGCCACACUGUCUCCUCCUGAGACUCAGCGAAGUUGAAAUGUUUGUGAUGAUGCAAUCUACCCGUGGCUAGACGGAAAGACCCCAUGAACCUUUACUGUAGCUUUGCAUUGGACUUUGAAGUGGUUUGUGUAGGAUAGGUGGGAGACAUUGAAGCAUGGACGCUAGUCUGUGUGGAGUCGUCCUUGAAAUACCACCCUGACCCCUUUGAGGUUCUAACCUUGGUCCGUUAUCCGGAUCGGGGACCGUGCAUGGUAGGCAGUUUGACUGGGGCGGUCUCCUCCCAAAUUGUAACGGAGGAGCUCGAAGGUCGCCUAGGUACGGUCGGACAUCGUACUGAUAGUGUAAUGGCAAAAGGCGGCUUAACUGCGAGACCGACAAGUCGAGCAGGUGCGAAAGCAGGACAUAGUGAUCCGGUGGUUCUGUAUGGAAGGGCCAUCGCUCAACGGAUAAAAGGUACUCUGGGGAUAACAGGCUGAUUCCUCCCAAGAGUUCACAUCGACGGGGGAGUUUGGCACCUCGAUGUCGGCUCAUCACAUCCUGGGGCUGUAGCCGGUCCCAAGGGUAUGGCUGUUCGCCAUUUAAAGUGGUACGUGAGCUGGGUUCAAAACGUCGUGAGACAGUUUGGUCCCUAUCUGCAGUGGGCGUUGGAAAUUUGAGGGGGGCUGCUCCUAGUACGAGAGGACCGGAGUGGACAGACCUCUGGUGUACCGGUUGUCACGCCAGUGGCAUUGCCGGGUAGCUAAGUCUGGAAGAGAUAAGCGCUGAAAGCAUCUAAGCGCGAAACUUGCCUCAAGAUGAGAUUUCCCCAAGGCUUUAAGCCUUUU
rnacentral:rRNA from 1 species